UUUGGUAUUGUUUGAGAGGACAAUUCUGGACUAGUCAAAGUUUGUACUUUGUCCCGAUAGAGAGCAGAGUUUAGUAAGUUGUUACGAUUUUCUUUGGUUGCUUCAGCAAAUAAGAUCAGGUCAUCAGCAAAAGGAACCGGACUUAGAAACUUAUAUCGGUUUCCAUUUCCUUUGGUUAACUUGUUCCAUUCCCAUUUCUCUUCUGUUAUUUUCUUGGAUGUACUGGUGUACUAAAAGUAGUACAUUAUUUAUUCAGUACAACCCUAAAUCAAAGGUAUAAUGAUAUUACUAAAUAGUAGUAUAUUAUUUGUUAAAUAUGCACGAUAUUACCAAAUUCUGAGGCAUACUGAUGCACUCAAUGUAAACCUAAUUUAAGAGAUCUGAAAAUUUGAAAGAAGAAAACGAACGAGAGGAAACUUAAUUGUUGGAUAUCAAUUAUCAUUACAUCAGGUGAAAAUACUCUUUAACAUAACCAAAGAAAAAAUCAUUACAUCAGGUGAAAUACUCUUUAACAUAACCAAAGAAAAAGAAAACUUACAUUUCCAAAGCUUAUAUCAAUUUGAAUGAUCUCUUUCUUAUACUCUGUCUUCAGUGGCUGAGCUGCAGGAGUGAAGUGCACCAAACAGACGAAAUUGAUUGCUAGAUUGUACUGUAAGUCUGUAAUUAAUGUUAGCCCUUCAAAGAUAAUGACUGCGCAGCAUAACAUGUUCCUGGACUAACUUUAAAUAUCAUAUUAAAACAUGUUAUGUACAACAAGAAGUCAAUCCAUGGAGAGGAAAGGAUUUGGCAACUUUAUUUGUUUGGUUAAAAAAAAUGAGGACGAUGAAAUAAUACAAAAUAGCUGCAUUUGUUUUUGAGCUUUGGACUAACCGUUAAAGAGUAAAAGCCAGGUCAAAUGUGUGUGAGCAACACAGCAAUUGCCGUGUAAGUGUUUCAUGUUUAAUAGCACACUUUAGUGGUAGUUCAAGUGUCUAAUAGGUCACAACCUCAAUUGAGGUAUCGAAAUGAAAAAUCUUGACAACUUUAGGGGGUUGUUUAUGGAAUUGGCCUUGUUAAAACAAAAGGCAACAAAAUCUUAGUAGUAAUAUAUUAAGAGGACUUAAAUUGUGUGCAUAUGGAGUCAAUUAAUAAAUUUUGCUCCCUCCAAAAAAGGUAAUAAAUGAAAACUGAUUCCGAAUCCUGAAAAAAAAAAAAAAAA